rnacentral:rRNA from 1 species
CACGAAUGGCGUAAUGAUGGCCAGGCUGUCUCCACCCGAGACUCAGUGAAAUUGAACUCGCUGUGAAGAUGCAGUGUACCCGCGGCAAGACGGAAAGACCCCGUGAACCUUUACUAUAGCUUGACACUGAACAUUGAGCCUUGAUGUGUAGGAUAGGUGGGAGGCUUUGAAGCGUGGACGCCAGUCUGCGUGGAGCCGACCUUGAAAUACCACCCUUUAAUGUUUGAUGUUCUAACGUGGACCCGUAAUCCGGGUUGCGGACAGUGUCUGGUGGGUAGUUUGACUGGGGCGGUCUCCUCCUAAAGAGUAACGGAGGAGCACGAAGGUUGGCUAAUCCUGGUCGGACAUCAGGAGGUUAGUGCAAUGGCAUAAGCCAGCUUGACUGCGAGCGUGACGGCGCGAGCAGGUGCGAAAGCAGGUCAUAGUGAUCCGGUGGUUCUGAAUGGAAGGGCCAUCGCUCAACGGAUAAAAGGUACUCCGGGGAUAACAGGCUGAUACCGCCCAAGAGUUCAUAUCGACGGCGGUGUUUGGCACCUCGAUGUCGGCUCAUCACAUCCUGGGGCUGAAGUAGGUCCCAAGGGUAUGGCUGUUCGCCAUUUAAAGUGGUACGCGAGCUGGGUUUAGAACGUCGUGAGACAGUUCGGUCCCUAUCUGCCGUGGGCGCUGGAGAACUGAGGGGGGCUGCUCCUAGUACGAGAGGACCGGAGUGGACGCAUCACUGGUGUUCGGGUUGUCAUGCCAAUGGCACUGCCCGGUAGCUAAAUGCGGAAGAGAUAAGUGCUGAAAGCAUCUAAGCACGAAACUUGCCCCGAGAUGAGUUCUCCCUGAGACUUAG